GGCAUAUGGAAGUUCCCAGGCAAGGGACUGAAUCUCAGCUGCAGCUGGGACCCAUGCCAUAGCUGCGGCAACACUGGAUCCUUUAACCUACAGCUCUGGGCUGGGGACCAAACCUGCGCCUUUACAGUGACCCCCAAGCUCCUUGAGGUUCACAGGCUUCAGGUAUCAUGUCUUAGGUACCUCAGCUCCUAAGUGGUUAAAUCUGUUAAUUUUCCAAACAACUUCCACUGCCCUUUGGCCACUUUUCUCUGCUAACACCUGACAAUUAUAGCAAAUGUGACUCCAGUGUCCAUCUUCCUGCCAUUCUACACUGAUAAAUGUGGUUUUUGGAAAUUUUAUUUGAGCAUAUACAAUGUAUCUUCUAGGAAUAUAAUUUGUAUCAACAGUUUAGUUGUUACACAAUUUCACUGAUCUGUAGAUUGCCGAACCUAUAGUCUAUGGUAUUAUAAGACAGUCUUCUAAAAACCUAUCCCUUCUUAACUCCAAAUGAGAAACCGAAGGCACCUCACUCUUUACCAACCAUGGCAAUGAGAAGCCACUUCUCUACUCCUCGCCUUAUGGACACAUUUAGCCUGUGUGAAGAUGAAAAUGAAGGAUAGAUUACCCAUAUAUUUAAGGAACGAUGUAGCACCCAUCCCUUUACAUUGUUAAUUGUGAGCUAUUUGGUAGGUGGGUGACCAUGUGGGAUAGAAAAUAAAUGUAUGUUUUAGCAGACACAUAUAAGAUGUUAUCUGUAUCUGUAAGACUCAAGUUUAAUGAAAUGCAUAGGUAUAAUAAAUUUAGUCCUGAAAAUGGUGCAAUAUCCCCUUUGAGAGCGGAGAAACACCUGGCUUUGCCUGUUCCUCUUUCCUAGCAUGCAUGGACAUGUCUGAAAUCUGAAAUCCGGAUCUCUUACCACUGAAUUACUGUCACACAUUUAGCAAAAGGCAACAUGAAUUCAGUAGCUGUUUAUAAAACUAGACAUACGCUCCUCUUCCCCUAUGCAUAUAUAUCUUGGUGCCAAAUUUUGGAUCUUAAAUGUGUCCACUAGCUUCGUUUAUAGGCCCAGAGAUAUGAUGAGUAUUUUCAUUAAGAUAUCCUCCAUUUCUGAGGCGCUUAUAGAGAUGCUCGACUGUAUUCUUCCUCUUAGCAGAGAUCUGUGUGUGAACCAAAGGAUGAUGACUGCAUCAGUGGCACCAAGGACCCAUCACUUAUUCUCAAUCCGUUGUCCACUAACAUUGCACGAGAGGAAUAAAACUCACUGAUAUUCGCUACCAUUUAACUUUUUGUUCAAUCUCCAGCCAAAUAUCUUCAGUAAUUCAUCUCCCUGUCUCCCGUCUCCACUAACAUUUUCCUCCUUCAGCCUGCAGUUUCCUUUCCUUCUGACAUUACCUACAAUCUAUGAUCAUUUAUUUUUCUGAUUAAUUUUUUUUUAACUUUUCUCCUAUCCAGAAGGCCGCAAGGCCCUGCAAAUGAUAUGAAGACUUAGGAAAUCCUAAAAGAUGUGGCUCUGUUCCUAGGUACCUAUGACUUUCUGAUUAGGGUCUCUGAGAUUUAAAAAUUAUAAUUCAGAAUCCUGGGCGUUCCCGUUGGGGCUCAGCAGGUUAAGAACCUGACUAGUAUCCGUGAGGAUGCAGGUUCAGAUUCCUGGCCUUGCUCAGUGGGUUAAGGAUCCUGUGAGCUGUGGUGUAGGUCUCAGAUCCUGUGAGCUUAGAUCUGGCAUUGCUGUGGCUGUGGUGUAGGUCUGCAGCUGCAGCUCCGAUUUGACUUGAACUUCCAUAUGCCACAGGUGCGACCCUAAAAAGAAAAAAAGUUAUAAUUUAGCACAGGCAACAGGGUUUCUGGGCUGCUGAAUCCAAGGAUGAGAUGUCUAGAAUGUUGAAGGGGUAUGGCUCUAGUUGCCAUGUUGUAAAUUCACGCUUUUAGCUACCUUUUCUAUUAAACAAGGCAUUUCAUAGGCCUUGAUUCCCUGAUUUUGCCCUUGGUUAAGAUAGUCUAUAUUUAGUGGGGGACUUUUCUAGGGCCUAAUUAUAUCUUAGGAUAUUAAGUGGGUCAUUCCAUCUCUUUGUUAGACUGACAUUAUUCCAGGACCCUUGCAGUCUGAGAAUCCAAAUUUUACAUGAAGGAGAAAUUCUUUAUGUUCAGCAAAGUGCUUAACAUUUUGAAACAGUGCAAGGGCUCAAAUGAGUAAGCAAUCCUAUUUGGAGUAUCUAGAGGUCUCUGUCCCCAAAACAUAUGGGUGACAUGCUUUUUUAAAAGUUAACACAUCUGAAACAUGAAAGCUUUUGCUUUCUCUUUCAUACACAUAUUGCUAAUUUCUUGGUAAUUGGAUGGUUCAAUUUAAAUGGGAAAGAAAUGACUAGGAAGCUUUUUCUCAAUUAUCAGUAAAAACUGUAUCAUACCAUAAAUUGCUCUUAUUGUACUAACAUCAUGAAAAGACAAGGUCAAAUGCUGAUCAUAAUGGCCAAAUCAUCAGGAAAAUAGAUACAGCUACUUGUUCCUUACUCAGCUGGGGGAGCCUGAAUUUCCACAGCAAACAAAUGAGAUUUUUCCUUGGCUCCUUGGUAUAUGAUUCAGGCAUCUGCCAACUCCCUCACUCAGCAGAGGCUUGGUCACCACCUUUGGAGAAUAAAUGCUAUUAUUUUGAAGUUACUUUGAGGAGUAAGAGGCAACACAAAAUAUGUGAACAUGUUUUUCAAAGAGUGAAGCAGUAAUAAAUACAUGCAGCUAUUGUCACUUUCAUAGCUUUGCAUAUAUCCAGGAUGAACUAUGUUUCAAAGAGAGAGUCAGGAACUAAUUCUUGAGAUACCCUUAGAAAUCAGGAAAAAUGAAACUCAAUAUUGCCUAAUUCAAAGCGCUGCCAUUAAGUUGACAUUUUGUUUGACUUGGACAACUCAGAAUUGGCUUUGAUGAUUAAAAAUAAAUAAAUAAAAAAAAUUUAAAAAAACCUGGUCACUAGAGGAAUUCUCCCAAAUAAGUAGCUACUUUCUGAGGUAGAGCAUCCCAUCACAAGAAUGUC
rnacentral:lncRNA from 1 species